rnacentral:rRNA from 1 species
UACGUAGGUGGCAAGCGUUGUCCGGAUUUAUUGAGUUUAAAGGGUGCGUAGGCGGCCCUGUAAGUCAGUGCUGAAAUAUCCCGGCUUAACCGGGAGGGUGGCAUUGAUACUGCGGGGCUAGAGUACAGAUGAGGUAGGCGGAAUUGACGGUGUAGCGGUGAAAUGCUUAGAUAUCGUCAAGAACACCUAUAGCGAAGGCAGCUUACUAGGCUGUAACUGACGCUGAGGCACGAAAGUGUGGGGAUCAAACAGG